rnacentral:rRNA from 1 species
UACGGAGGGUGCAAGCGUUAAUCGGAAUUACUGGGCGUAAAGCGCAUGUAGGUGGUUUGCUAAGCCAGCUGUGAAAUCCCCGGGCUCAACCUGGGACUUGCAGUUGGAACUGGCAAGCUAGAGUAGGGUAGAGGGGUGUGGAACUCCAGGUGUAGCGGUGAAAUGCGUAGAUAUCUGGAGGAACAUCAGUGGCGAAGGCGACACCCUGGACUCAUACUGACACUGAGAUGCGAAAGCGUGGGGAGCAAACAGG